rnacentral:rRNA from 1 species
UACGUAGGGUGCAAGCGUUGUCCGGAUUUAUUGGGCGUAAAGAGCUCGUAGGCGGUUUGUCGCGUCGGAUGUGAAAACCCAGGGCUCAAUCCUGGGCCUGCAUUCGAUACGGGCAGACUAGAGUAUGGCAGGGGAGACUGGAAUUCCUGGUGUAGCGGUGAAAUGCGCAGAGUAUCAGGAGGAACACCGGUGGCGAAGGCGGGUCUCUGGGCCAAAACUGACGCUGAGGAGCGAAAGCGUGGGGAGC